CGAGACCACACCGCGUCUUUCCCAGCAGCCCUCGCGGUGGAGACGUCACUGGCGGCGCCCUUCAGCAUCUCGGACGGAAGAUGGCGUCAGCUACCCGUCUCAUCCAGCGGCUGCGGAACUGGGCAUCUGGGCAAGACCUGCAGGGGAAGCUGCAGCUGCGCUACCAGGAGAUCUCCAAGCGAACUCAGCCUCCUCCCAAGCUCCCUGUGGGUCCCAACCACAAGCUCUCCAGCAAUUACUACUGCACUCGCGAUGGCCGCCGGGAGUCUGUGCCCCCUUCCAUCAUCAUGUCCUCGCAGAAGGCGCUGGUGUCAGGCAAGCCAGCAGAGAGCCCCUUGCCAUACCCCCAGAGAUGUCUGCAUUUCCCAGGGAGGCCACUUCCGCCUCUUCCACUUCCUUGAGGCUCCUGGGAGGUCCUGUGCCUCCACCCCUGGGGCACCUCCUCCAUCUCCUGCUUCGUUUCUUGCUUAGGCUGUGAGCUCUGCUGUAGCAGCCACUGAGAAGAAGGCGGUGACUCCAGCUCCUCCCAUAAAGAGGUGGGAGCUGUCCUCGGACCAGCCUUACCUGUGACACCGCGCCCUCAGGGCCACCUGACUACUUUGCCUCCUUGUUUUCCCUCCAGGGAGAAUGUGACCUAAUUUAUGAUGAAUACAUAGAGCGCGGGUAUCACUUCUAGUUUUACUUUAAAAAAUAAAAAAAUAGAGACAGAGUC